rnacentral:rRNA from 1 species
GUAGUCCACGCCCUAAACGAUGUACACUUGAUGUCGGCCUGUAAGGGUCGGUGUCGGAGCUAACGCGUUAAGUGUACCACCUGGGGAGUACGCUCGCAAGGGUGAAACUCAAAGGAAUUGACGGGGGCCCGCACAAGCAGUGGAGCAUGUGGUUUAAUUCGAUGCAACGCGAAGAACCUUACCUAGGCUUGAAAAGCAUUCUAAACCUGUGAAAGCAGGGUACCCGCAAGGGGGGAUGUACAGGUGCUGCAUGGCUGUCGUCAGCUCGUGCCGUGAGGUGUUUGGUUAAGUCCAGCAACGAGCGCAACCCCUAGAUUCAGUUGCCAGCACGUAAUGGUGGGAACUCUGGAUCGACUGCCUACGCAAGUAGUGAGGAAGGUGGGGACGACGUCAAGUCAUCAUGGCCCUUACGCCUAGGGCUACACACGUGCUACAAUGGCAUCUACAGCGCGCAGCAAGACCGUGAGGUGGAGCGAAUCGCUAAAAAGAUGUCUCAGUUCAGAUCGGAGUCUGCAACCCGACUCCGUGAAGUUGGAAUUGCUAGUAAUCGCGAGUCAGCACAUCGCGGUGAAUA